AGUGAACGCUGGCGAUAGGCCUAACACAUGCAAGUCGAACGGCAGCACAGUAAGAGCUUGCUCUUACGGGUGGCGAGUGGCGGGCGGGUGAGGAAUACAUCGGAAUCUACUUUUUCGUGGGGGAUAACGUAGGGAAACUUACGCUAAUACCGCAUACGACCUACGGGUGAAAGCAGGGGAUCUUCGGACCUUGCGCGAUUGAAUGAGCCGAUGUCGGAUUAGCUAGUUGGCGGGGUAAAGGCCCACCAAGGCGACGAUCCGUAGCUGGUCUGAGAGGAUGGUCAGCCACACUGGAACUGAGACACGGUCCAGACUCCUACGGGAGGCAGCAGUGGGGAAUAUUGGACAAUGGGCGCAAGCCUGAUCCAGCCAUACCGCGUGGGUGAAGAAGGCCUUCGGGUUGUAAAGCCCUUUUGUUGGGAAAGAAAAGCAGCAGGUUAAUACCCCGCUGUUCUGACGGUACCCAAAGAAUAAGCACCGGCUAACUUCGUG
rnacentral:rRNA from 1 species